rfam:Myotis brandtii contig279582, whole genome shotgun sequence.
AGUGGUUCUCGGGUGACACACCCCAGAAUCGGGCUCUCUCCUCUCUGGUUCCAGGUGCGACACCCAAGAACUGCA